rnacentral:lncRNA from 1 species
ACUCAUGGUCUCANCCUUUUUCUCCAAGCAUGCAAGCUUUUCUUCCUUAGACUUCUGGUUGUUAGCUGCUACACUCUCCAUCCCCUCCUCUCUCCUUAGGACCUUCCCCUUCCUCCACUGACAUUAGUCGAUCACAACCUCCCCAUCUCUUCCCCACCCUCCCGAGCCUCAUCAUUUUCCCCAGCGGCCAUUCCCAAUCUCUCCUUUCCCCUUCCUCCUCGUCCUCCUCCUCCUCCGGAGAGAGAUCAUGGAGACAGUAUUAUCGAUGGUGCUGCUCCCGGAUGCAUUUCUGGGGGCUCGGGAUGACAUCACAGAGCAGAUGGGGAUAGUGUGGCAACAGAUCAAGGUGUCGAUCAUCAUCCCACUGCUCCGUCUCGCCCUGUUCCUCCUCCAAAACCCCCAGUUGCUUUCCAUCUUCCCUUCCUCUCUCCAACGAACCCCUUCUUUCUUGCUUUCCUCU